GUGGUUGGAGUAGGGUUUGGGGUAGGGUUAGGUUUAGGCUUAGGGGUAGGGUUAAGGGUUGGGGUAGGGUAAGUAGUUGGGCUAGGGUUAGGGGGAGGGUUAGGGUUACUCCUAACCCUCCCCCUAACCCUACCCUACCCAUAACCAUACCCUAACCCUACACCUACUCCUAAUCCCAACCCUACCCUAACUCUACCCUUAACACUACCCCUAACCCUACCUCUAACCCUACCUGUAACCCUACCCCUAACCCUACUCCUAAACCAAC